UGCCCUUGUGACAUCAUGGCUAUCUCCCUCUACUUCUCCACCCCUCCUGCCCCUGCCAGGGUAAGGGGAGCAGCAACGAGAGGGGAUGUGAACACCUGAACCACUGCCCCAAACAUGGGCUGUCUAUGCUGUAAGCGUGACCCAGACGUAGACCCACUGGAGAUACAGAAACUGAAGAGACACUCUGUCUGGUGGUGUUUCUCGUCUGCCAUCUUGCUCCGCCUCCCAGACUGAUGGCUUUUACAGGUACAAUAAGUAGUCACUUCA